rnacentral:lncRNA from 1 species
AAAGCAAAAAGCAAAAGGGGAGAGGAUUGGACAGUUACUGUUCAAUCAUCUUCUCCAUGCUUUGCUCCGUCCAUUUGCUGCUCCACACCGCCAGCGACGCUCCUGCCCAGACCGCUCAGCCAGCUUUGCACCCAAUCGCGACCCGACGCCACCGGAGCCCCAAAUCAGCCGCACCGCCGCGUUUUCCUCGCUCGCAGCAGCCGCGCCACCUGCAGCCCUUCGCCCGAGCCCCGACACUUGCAGAUCUGAGCUGGCCGCCGCACCUCCACCUUCCGAUCAAUCGGGUUUCUGCUGUUGACGCCACCGAAGUUUGCAUCGCCGGUCUGCUGCUCCGCCUUCUGCCAGAUCCGGACCCUUUGCUCUCGCCGUCGAUUGAAGUCCAGAUCCGCAUGCCGUUGCUCUCGUUCCAAUUGACCUGCAGCCGCGCCUCUGUCCCUAACGCCGACGGCCUGCUCUGCCUCUGCUAUCACCUAUCUACCGGCCCUGAGUCCUCUAUUGCAGCCCACUGUGACCCGCGACCUUCUGCUCGCUCGUUGCCGCACUGUUGCGCCCCUACUGCAGCUGUUUCACCAGUCACCCGAAGCUCUGCCCUGCUGAUCGCCGUCCGUGAAGCCCGACGUCUGAGCCGCUCCUGACUUGUUCAGCCGCUCGUCUGCGACUCCCCGACGCCGCUCUCUACCGAGUCGGAGUCCUGAGUCACCCGCACCGGCACCAGCAACCCGCGAGUCCCCAGUCUUCACGUUUCGGUCAGCCUCGCGACACCAAUCUGUCACUGUCGCGCACUGCCCUUCCCCCGACCCGACGCCUCAAAUCCCGAGCGCCGCCCGUCGCCCGUCGCCCAGCAGCCGGACCUAAGCCGAACCGCUGUCCGCGAAGCCACCACCGAUUCACCUCUUCACCGCUCGCCUGCUGCCAGUUCACCCUUGCUAAAGUUCCCUUGCCGCACUGAUCAACCGACUACUCUCGGAGGCCCACUAUUACACGUGGGAAAAGAAAGAAGAAAAACCCAAAAAAAAAAGAAAAAGGAAAAGGGAAUUAGGUAGAAUUUUAUCCAGUUAUAGUUUUGUUUCUUUUAUUUUCCUUUAUAUCUGGAUUUGUUUAGUGGAAUUGUUCCUCUUAAAUGUAUGAUUGAUAUUCCGACAUGAAAAAGUCCCUCAAACUAGGGAUUGACAGUCCGAUUUUCGCGUCCGAAAUCCAACUCGCAAUCUCUUACAAAAAUCGACAAUCCAAUCUCAAGCCCGAGAUUCGAUUCGCGAUUUAAUUUUAAAAUUGAUCAACCCGAUCUCAUGCGCGAGAUAUGGUUCGCCAAUUUUUGGAUAUCAAUAUUGUCUUGCUUGAUUUGAUGUCGUGGUGUUUGGAUCAAUUUUAUUUUCAUAAGAGGAAAAAAUAAAAAAUAAAAAUUCGAAUUAGGGUUAAGUUUGUUUUAGAAUAUUCCUAGUCUUAGGGUUAAAAUCGCAAUCUUAUUUCGAAUUUUUUAAAUGAGAAAAUAAAAAAAUCUGAAUAAGGAUUAGGUUUUUUUUUUAUAUAUUUAGAAUAAUAAUUUUAUUUUGAAUCAAGGAAAAGAAAACCAAAAAAAAAAAAAAAACAAAGCACAUUCAUUUAGGAUGUUAGUUUUAUCAUUAUUUGAAUUGCAUGAGAAAUUUUAAUUUCGAAAUUAAUAAAAGCACAAAAUGUCAUCAUGCAUAUAUCAUGUUGAAUUAGGGCAUUCUUUGCACAUCAUUGCAUGUUAGGAUUGCAUGUUUAUCAAUUAUAGGUAGAUAAUCUCUCCUAGAUAAAUUGCAUGUUUUGUUAGGAAAAUAAAAAUGUCCAUGUCAUAUAGAAUUAGGUUUACGAAAUGCACGUCAUUUAUUGAUUGUUGUUAGGUUCAUUUCUAAUUAGAAAUUGACCAUCAUUAAAUUAGGUCAUUUAAUAAAUGUCGCGUGACAUAUAGUUCGCAUAUUAAAUUGUAUGUUGCAUGUCAUUUUAGUUAAAAUAAUUUUGUACGUCAUUGCAUUGCAUUGCACGUCAUUAGAAUUAAGUCAUUUUGGUUAAUUUAGAUUGCAUAUUUAACAAUUACAUGUUUAUUAAGAGAUCAUAAAAAUUUUAUACAUAUAGUUUAGGACAUGUUGCCAUGCCAUAUCAUUUCAUAUUAGAUUAAAAGCAUUCCAUUGCAUAUGGAUUAUAGUCUCGUUAAAAAGUGAAAAAAAAAAAAAGGAAAUUGCGUGUUAAUUAGAAACCAUAUCUAGGGUUGUUGAUGUGGAUUUUAAUUUAACAUUGCAGAUGCUUUCGUUGCUUUGAGGUAAGUCCUGCAUUAUUUAAUUGAUUUCUUGGGUGUUAAAUUGGUGGUUUGCGCACCUGCAUGAACACCUCACAUGUUAGGGAAUUAAUUUAAAAUCAAUUUAAGCUGCCUGCAAAACCUUUUUUUCAAAAAUAAAAGAAAUGGUACCGAAAGGGCGUUAGAGAAAUCUAGCGUAAUCAAGUCCCCGUACCCAAAUCUCUGGUUCGUAGAAGUAAAGUGAAUCUUCCGUUACUUUACUUGGGUUUCUAAUCGACCCACCAAAAAAUAGAUUAGUGGCGACUCCUAGUUAAAAUUCAAUUGCAUGUUAACAAUUCAAACUUAAGUCGCGAAUUGGUAUGGGCUUGGGAGAGCCCGAGUUAAGUCUAGGCUUAACAAUCCAUUAGCCAAACCCUAGGUGGUUCACACCCUCAAAAAAAAAAUCGGUCGCGACAGCUUGGCGACUCCGCUGGGGAUUUGAGUUAAAACUUGUAGUGGACUUAGGCCAAUUUUUCUUUUCUUUUGAAAAAUGUUUUUGUUUGGCAGCGAGGUGUUCAUAAAUUUCUAAACGCAAGUACACAUAUCGAACAAGUAAUAUAAUGAUGAGAAAAAGUAUCGUCCCAUAGAGAUCGAUGAUUAAUAAACCAAUUAAAUACUAAAAUAGAGUAAUUCUAAAGUUUAUCUAACAGAUCAAAAUAUAAUUAAGAAUAAAUUAAAAACGAAAUUUGUAGACUAAAUGCAGUAAAUCGAUAAGAUAAAUAUGUUAGAGCAUCCGAUUUCACCAUAACCACUAGAUAUGAAUUUCAUAUCGUUAUGAGUACAAGAACGAUAUCAAACAUGUGAUAGCAGAAUUUCCUAAUCUAUUUACUAUCAUAUCUCUAGGAAUAGCAAACCUACUCAGCUUAUUAAUCCACUAUAUCUCUAUGUGAAUUAAAAUAAACAUGAGUGCAUUAAAAACUAUGAAUAUUCCCGGUUUACAAUGAGUCUUUUGGAUCACCUUAUCACCGAAAGCUACACAAAUAACGUGGUAUAUUUCUAUCCACGUUUAAUUCAUGGUUAUAUAUUAUAAUGAGCAAUUGCAUAUUAUCACCUCUCAGUCUCAAACAUGCACAUCAGAUCAUUCAAGUGGUGGCCAGUCACUCAAAAGCAUUAAACGCAAUAAUAUAUAACUCACAUGAAUGAAAUCAAUUGUAAAACAUAAAAAUCAUGAAAUUCAUAUCAUCAUGGUUAGGCUACAUCGUAGCCCUAACAAAAGAAAAUUAGAACAUAGUAGAAGAAGAAAUAAAAAUAUAGAUCAAACCCAGCAUCUUGAAUUAAAGGACAAGAAUUUUGUCACCACUUUUCUCUUCUCUUCAAAAUACUUGAAAAACUCUCAGAAGAAUAAAAAAAAAACGAUCUAACUCUAACCCUAAAAAACCCUAGCUACUCUCUCUAUCUCUAUUUAUAGGAUAUAUCCAAGAUAUCUAUCUCCCAACGCUUGCAGAUAACAUUAGGGAACAAAAUCAAGAAUUUCCUGAUUUGAUAUCCAUCUUUCACUGCUUCUUUUAUUUGAAUUCCUGAUAGUUACCAUUCUUUUCCUUAUCCUCUUCAUAUCUCAUUAUUAUGCAUAAACAAGGAAAAUUCAAAUAAUCAGAAGGAAAUCCAAAUAUUUUCUCACAGAUAAUGCAUUAAUUACUGCCUCAAAUAGGUAAAAUAACUCUAUUUUUAUAGAGUUAUCACAAGGACUCCAGGUACGCCCCUAACAAUUAAGGUGUUAAAUGUUCUUGCAGGAUGGGAGGUAUAAGGGGAAGUGUUUGCUAACCUUUAUUUUGCAGGGAGGUGUAGGAAUGUAUGGUUUAUUUUCAUGAACGAAGUGUUGUUUGAUUUAAACUGUUGUACAUGCUUUGCAUUUAUCACUACACUUUGCACACACAACCUGCCGCCGGACCUGGGCCGCAUAGGAUCAUUUAGGAUGGUAUUGAGAUGGAUACCGCUCCGACCGCAUGCUCGCGGUACGAGUCGCCCAUCUCAAUCCCGAAGUUUCUUUCAUGGUGUCAAGAGUACUCACCUCGGUUCGCAUGCCCGCGACUCGGGUUGGCUCUUUGACCAAGCCAGAGUCAUGAGGACCCGACAUAGUCCACAAGCCCGUGGCUAGUCUGAUCAUCCUUGUGGCUCCACCUUGCUAAGCCUUAUAAAUUAGAAAUCGAGCCACUUACCAUGUGCAUGUCUAUGUGAUUGCCAUUGAUUUUUCUUGGUAAAGUAAGUUUUCUAUCCCUAUACGUGCAAUUUAUUUUGUCAUGCUUUUGGUCUGUCCAUGACAAUCUAGGAUAGUCAUUUGAUCUAAUUCCUUUCAAGAAGGAAAUGAGGAAAUUGCCAUGCAAUAAAUCAUUUGGAAAAUAAAAAACUUUGGAGAAUUUGUUUUCAAUUCAUGUCUAGAAAAAUUGAUCUUACUAGGAUGUCUAUUUUUCUAGCUCUCUUUAGGAAAUUCCCUUCUUGUAAGAGCUUUUCAUGAAAAAAAAAUGAUGAAAAAAAAGUUGAUAGAUCAUUGUCAUGGGUUGAUUCUUUAUUUGCACCUUGUACUUAUAUAUUUUCAUUCAUUUGGAUUAGGUGAUAACGGAUCUUCCACGUUCGCCCAUCAUUACACGAUCGAGAGCAAAAAUGGCCGACCAAGCCGAAAUGCGAGAUCGUAUGUCUGCCGUGGAAGACCAACUCAAACAGUUGCUCACCUCUAUGCAACUUAUGAUAACUCAAAUGCAAUCUCUCCAAGUGAAUCAAACCCUUGCGCCCACUCUCCCCGAGAUUGUAGUCCCAAAGCAAACGAACAAGGCUCAAAUUGAUGAUGACGACAUGCCUGAACUGGAGGAUAACCCACUGUUUGUCACUACCGAAAAGGUUAAGCCCGACAAUGUCCCUAAGGCAGAACAGGAUGAACGCUUUACCAAACUUGAAGAGAAACCGAAACAAUUGCAAGAGUCGCGGAGUUCACUCCCAUUUGACUUGUCAGUUUACGAGAAAGUCAAGAUGCCGAAAAAGUUUAAGAUGUCGGAGUUCGAGAAAUACGACGGUACUUCCUACCCAAAGGCUCAUUUGCAAAUGUACCACGUACGCAUGGCCCAGUAUGUCAAGAAUGAGCCUCUCAUGAUCCAAUCAUUUCAUGCAAGUUUGACUGGGCCCGCUUUGAAUUGGUAUGUGAUGAAGAAUGUGAACCUCCUCGACACCUGAAACAAAGUGGCUGACGCGUUCCUCAAACAAUACAAGUUCAAUAUGGACAUCGCACCUUCCCGAGAGGAUCUUGAGAGAAUGGAGAAGAAGAAGAGCGAAUCAUUCAAGGAGUAUGCCAUGAGAUGGCGAAAUGUGGUAGCUCAAAUCACUCCUGAGCCUACUGACAAGGAAUUGAUGAAGUUGUUCAUCAAAACUCUUCCAUCUGAGUUCCGUAACCGGAUGGCUAGUACAUAUGUCGAAAACUUCAACCAACUUGUUCCCGUGGGAGAACAAAUUGAGAUGGGGAUAAGAGAUGGGUCGUUUACUGAGCCAUCUAACAGAAGGUUUUCUACCAAGAGGGAGAAGGACCUUGAAGUUGAGAUUAAUAUGACAUAUUCUCAACCAAAUCGUGAUCGCACUCCAAUAGUUAAGAUUUCUACUGAGCAACAAGGUGGAGAACAUCAGCUCCCUAAUCGACGACGUAAUGUCAGAAGACAGUUCACACCUCUUCCUGGGCCCCUAUCCAAAGUUUUGCCUAUCCUCCAAAAGAAGGGAUUACUUUCUUCGGAGCCAAAGCAACCAAAUCCUGAGCAUUAUCCUGCAUAUAAUCCCUCCGAAAAGUGUGACUAUCACACGGGAGAGGUUGGUCACUCCACUGAUGAUUGCUAUGUUUUGAAACAUAAGGUCCAAGAUCUCUUGAAUACAAAGGCAUUCUCUUUCAGCAGUAAUCAGAAAAAUCCUCUGCCCAACCAUGAUGAAGGCGCAAACGCUGUCACUGAGUGAAGAAGUUCUUAUCUCCUAGGAUUUCAAGUUUUGUUUAGGAUUCUCUGCUUUUUGAAAUUUCAAUUAUUGCUUUCACUUUUAGGGUUUAGCUUGUUUGCAUUUUCCAUUCCAAUAAUGUAAUUCACUUGAUUCUAUUCUAUGAAAUUAUAAUUUUAUUUCAAAUUUUGAGGACAUGACGGGGUACUCCAAACCAGUCCAAUGACGAUAUCCAACCAUGAAAGAAAAUAUCAUCCACGGAGAAAUCCUAAGGGCUGGACUUUCUCAUGUUUCCUCCCAAAAACCUUUUCGAAAACAAAAAAGCAUUUCAUUGUAAAAAAAAAAAAAAAAAACAUUUUCCCAAAGCUUGUAGCAGAUUAAACCUAUUUGUUUGUCUGACUCAUUUGCUUCUUGUCUCAGAACAUGAUUCUAUAACUUGUUAUGACAAGGGACAUCUGAGAAUGGCGUAUCAAGUUUCAAUGAUCAUAAACUUGACUUGUGAUCAACAGGUUUAGAGCGCACUUGUAAUGAAAAAGAUUUGGGGCAAGUAAAAGAGGACCAUCAUUCCUUGGUGGAAGAGUUGACAAAUUGGGGGCAUGAUAGGUUUUGGUAGUGACCCGACUGGGAUAAAGUCUUCACCCGAGCCAAAAUGGAUGUGCAAUUUGAAUUUACUUUGAUGUUGCAUAGUAUCAUAUUGAUGCAUGUUCUCUUAUGCAGGGGCAAAAGUGGAUUUUUAGUCUUGAAUGAUAGGGACAAUCCAAAGACAUCAACUGCUGAGGCAAUUCUCAUUGUAGAGGAAUCCUUGAAUGAAUGCUUAAACCAUUUUGCAGUAUAGAAAAUUGUUUGAAGUUGACAUGCUUGAAGCUGUUGAAUUCUUUAAAAAAAAAAGGAUUUUGCAUGAUGACUGUUACAUGUUUUAUCCACUAAUUCCACUAAAGAACAUCAAGAUGGACUAAUUUAAUGAAUGAUGUGGAAUUGAUUGAGCAUACUAAAUGAGACGAGUCGGGAUGAUGAAAGGCAAACCAUAUCCUAUACACAGUCCCAUAUUCAUACACUUGUGAGAUGAGUGUAGGAAGGUUCAUAUCCAUAAGGUAAAGAGUUCUCUCGCAAGAGGUACGGCAACCGAAAUGAUGAGAUGCAAUUCAUUUCUCUAUCCCAAACGCUACAAAGGAUCCAUUGCUUAACCCUUUUGAGCCCAUACACUUAUGGAUAUUCUUUUCAAAUCACCCCUGUCAAGAAUCACCCCACAUCAGGGCAACUAGGAGAUAAAAUGGCAUCAUGAGGUGAGGAAAAUGAAUUGAAAUUUUCUUGCUCUCACUUGCAUCAAUCUUCAAGUCGUGCUAUUACAUUGAAUUCAUGUGUUAAUUUAAAUGCCUUGGGAUGACGAAGAGUAUUUCUUUCUCUAUCAUAUACACUUAUAUCCUUUGCAUAUCCCACUUGAGCCUGCAAUUUCAUUUCUUUAAACCCAAUUGGUGAUCAUCCCCCACACUAGGGCAAGGCAAAAGGCAGAUGAGGACCUUUGAAAGUUCAAAUGCCAUUCAAAGUGUAAUUGCUUGACGCAUGCAUUGUGCGCAAGAAUUGAAUUCAAAAUAGAACUAAGGGGCAUGAAAAAGCAGUGUGCUUGGUAAAAGCAAGGCCGAUGCCUAUGAAAAGAAGUGAAGAAAAAAUGCAUGAGAACUAGGGGCAUAAAAAGCGGUGUGCUUGGUAAAAGCAAGGCCAAUGCCCAUAGAUGAAAAAAGAAAGUUAAGAUAGGUAAUUGUCAAUUACAAGAAUUGAAUCUCAAUGGAGCAAUACUCAAAGAACUCAAAUGCCGAGUUUCUACAAUCAAUGGAGGACUUCAUGAAGACAAUCCCCGAUGGUAAAAAAACUGGUGGCAAUGUCAAGAUGAUCAUCAACUCUCACCUUUUGCACACAUUUUGAGCCUAAUGAUCCUUUCAUUUCUCAACCCAUGAACCCAACCUACGUUACGUCCCUUAACAAAGUCUCUUCAGAUUAGGGUACUUGAAUUAAUGUAGGAGUUCAUAUGUUUAUAAGCAUCGCUCGAAGAAGUGCGAGCAAGAUUAUUUCUUUUUCAUUUUGCAGGGUUCUUGACUUGUAAACCCGGAGAUGAUUACAAGACAGUUCAUUCAAUAGCUUUGACUCAAAGAGUCCUUUUGUUAAGCCGUUGACCAAGCCCACAUUAUGGUCCCUGUUAAAGACCUCUCAGAAUGGUAAGAUCGUACUGCUUGCGAGAAUACUCGGACCCAUAUCGAUAUGAUAAAAUUGAGUGAUUCGCAUAAAAUAGCCAUUCUAAAUGAGAGUGAGCGAAAGUCCUUUCUAACUGAAAGUCUCUCAUUUACUAUUCUUAAGAAAUCCAUGUCAGGAGUGAAGAUUGUCUUGAAUGAUAAUUCUCUCCAAUGGAAAUUUGGGUGAUGCAAAGGUCAUUAUGCAUAAACCUCGAUUGAGUUGAUGAAAACCUCACUGAAUUUUGAAAUUUGCAUUCUAGAGUAGCUUAGAUUGUCUAUGUCUUUGAUGAAUGCAUAUCAGUUUUUGCUCUAAAUCAUGUCUGACAAGUAAUUCAAGUUCCUUUCAGAAUGUUUCAUGAUAUUAGGAGAUAAGAAACCUCCAUCAUGAGGUGAAAGACCUCCAUAGGAUAUCUAAAUUCCAAAAGACAUAUCCCCAAGAAUCAGAGAUAUCACCAGGUAAGUAUAUCUCUACCAUACUCUAAAAUACUUGUCAUUGUGCAGGUAUUCUCUCUCAAAUGCAUCGACACUUGACUUGGUCAAGCUGUCCAGUUAUAUUGACUUGGCGUGCUUUCGUAGCCCAGAGUCAUUUUCAUCGACUCGAUGUGCUUCCGUAGCCCGAUGUCGCCUUUAAUAGACCCGACGUGUUUCUGUAGCCCGGAGUUCUUGACAUGGUGUGUUUUUGUAGCCCAGUGUCCCUUUUCAUUAACUCGGCGUGCUUCUGUAGCCCAAUGUCCUUUAUUGACCUAGUGUGCUUUCGUAGCCCAGAGUCCCUUUCAUUGACCCGGCGUGCUUUCAUAGCCCGGUGUUCCUUUUCAUGACCUGGCGUGCUUUUGUAGCCCAGAGUCCCUUUCAUCUACCCGGCAUGCUUUCGUAGCCCGGAAUUUCUGACCUGGUGUGUUUCAGUAGCCCAGUGUCCUUUAUAUUGACCCGGCGUGCUUUCGUAGCCCGGAAUUUCUGACCUGGCGUGCUUUCGUAGCCCAGAGUCCUUCUCAUCGACACGGCAUCUUCAGUAGCCCGGUGUCCUUUAUAUUGACCUAGCGUGCUUUCAUAGCCCAGUGUCCAUUUUCAUUGACUCGGCGUGCUUCCGUAGCCCCGUAGCCCGAUGUCCCUUUUAAUAGACCCAACGUGCUUCUGUAGCCCGGAGUUCCUGACCUGGCAUGCUUUCGUAGCCCAGAGUCCCUCUUUAUUGACCCGGCGUGCUUUCGUAGCCCAGGUUCCAUUUUAUCGAACCGGCGUGCUUCCGUAGCCCAGUUUUCUUUUAUCGACCUGGCGUGCUUUCGUAGCCCAAAGUCCUAAACACCGACACUCGAUCGAGCUGUCCCCCAAAGAUUUUUCUCCAGAUUCAGUCUGAUUAAGGCGACCGAAGAAAGGUUCGGGUCCUGGUCAGAUAAUCUAUGCUACAACGUUAGGCGACCAAAGAAAGGUUCGGGUCCUAGCCAAGCAAAAUCUCAGUUUAGGCGACCGUAGAAAGGUACGGGUCCUAGACAACCUUAUUGCUCUAACAGGCGACCGUAGAAAGGUACGGGUCUUGGAAAAGCAAUUACCUCAGUUCAGGCGACCGUAGAAAGGUACGGGUCCUGGAAAAUGAUUCAUCAUUCAUGCGCAGGCGACCGUAGAUAGGUACGGGUCCUAGAAAGCGAAUCCCCAUUUAGGCGACCGUAGAAAGGUACGGGUCCUAGACAACCUUAUUGCUCUAACAGGCGACCGUAGAAAGGUACGGGUCCUAGAAAAGCAAUUACCUCAAUUCAGGCGACCGUAUAAAGGUACGAGUCCUGGAAAAUGAUUCCUUAUUCAGGCGACCGUAGAAAGGUACGGGUCUUGGAAAGCGAAUUCCCGUUUAAGCGACCAUAGAAAGGUACGGGUCCUAGACACAACCAAACACUGCCCUACUAGGCGACCGUAGAAAGGUACGGGUCCUGAACAUGUAACAGCAACUAUCUUGAAUCACUCUACCCUCUUUGAAGGUAAGAUAUUCCAGGUAGGUUCCUUUACCAUUUGCAUACAAAUUGCAUUCCAAAAUUUUGACAUCUCAGUCUGGAUCUAGACGUCUUAAUUCUUUUCGUUAAACAUUUCACUUUGAAUGUGAUUGUUUUUCGAGCUUCUUCGUUAUACCUUAAUCUGGAUCUAGGUAUUUCGAGUUUUAAUCUUGACAUCUCAGUCUGGAUUUGGAUGUCUCAAUCUAUUACAUGUUACGCUUUUCAAGGAACCUGAGUGAGAGUUGGGUACUUGUGGAGUAAAUAGAGAUUUAUCAUGUACCUCAAGAUGCUUUACCGCACUGAUUGGUAAGUAAUUGUAGGUACAUUCUUUCCUUUGACAUCAUGCAUUUGCAUUAGCAUUUCCAUGCACCAUAUGAAUUGCAUUUUUUUUUUUUAAAUGGGAUACAUUUCCCGACAAAAAAAAUCAUUCAGUGCAUGUGCAUAGUCAAAAUUUAGGUCUCAAUUUGUCUUUGAAGGCAACCUCUUCAAGCUCACCUUCAAAGAGGGGCAGCUGUUGACACCUAAAUUUUAACGGCCCGUUUAGUCAUUUAUCGCAUUAAAAUUAGGGUUUAAUUUUAUCAAAAAUAUAUAUAUGUUAAUUGCGUAGCAUAUAGGUGCAUUUUUAUUAUUUUAUUUUAAUUGGUGUUUUAUUUAUUGGACCGGUGCGGAUGGGUUCAAAUUAGUUAGAUUAAGCCCACGAAGCGAGCAAGUUGGCCAAAGCCCAUGUCUUUUAUUAAUUGAAAAUUAUCUCGUAGGAAAAUAAAAAUUUUCUAAAUUUUUCCGGGAUAUGAAUCUUUUGGAUAAGGCACAUGUGUAAAAAAAUAUUGCGAUUUAUCUUUGCAAGAUUUGGAUUUCGAGAAAAUAUUUAUCGAAUUCUUAUCAAUAGGUGAUUAGUUGGUGAAAAGUAUCGCAGAUGUAGAUUUGAAGGGAGAAUCGAAAAUCUAUCUCCUACCCCUAUAAAAGCAACAGUGUACUACGAUGAAGAGGGGGGGGCCUUUUGAUCCGAAGGAAAAGAACACAAAAAGUAAAAAGCAAAAAGCAAAAAGCAAAAGGGGAGAGGAUUGGAUAGUUACUGUUCAAUCACCUUCUCCACGCUUUGCUCCGUCCAUUUGCUGCUCCACACCGCCAGCGACGCUCCUGCCCAGACCACUCAGCCAGCUUUGCACCCAAUCGCGACCCGACGCCACCGGAGCCCCAAAUCAGCCGCACCGCCGCGUUUGCCUCGCUCGCAGCAGCCGC